rnacentral:tRNA from 5 species
GCGCCUGUAGCUCAAUCGGAUAGAGCAACUGCCUUCUAAGCAGUAGGUUGGGGGUUCGAUUCCCUCCGGGCGCACCA